AUGGAAAGCUUUAUUAGAAGACAUGCUUAUUUUCACAAGACAGGCUACAUGCCCAUAAAAUCCAUUAUCUGCGCAUACAGAGAAAAAAAAACACUACUGGCGAAUGGGAAGACGGUGAGGGUGCUGCCGGCGUGCAUGAACAACUUCCACCCGGCAUUCGUGGGCGAGUGGCUGCGGUUCAACAUGACAUGCCCGUUGUGCCGCGCUGCACCUGCUGUAGCAGUUUCCAGUCUCCUUUGCCCUGUGACACCAAUCGUCGGUGAUGGACUCCGAAGAAAGAAGCAGAGGGCCGACUUUUUUUCAUCUCUGAAGUGUUUAUGUAUGUACUUUUGUUUAUACUAG
rnacentral:rRNA from 1 species